rnacentral:rRNA from 1 species
GACGAACCGUGCGAACGUUAUUCGGAAUCACUGGGCUUAAAGCGCGUGUAGGCGGGACGGCACGUCGGUCGCUGAAAGCCCCCGGCUCAACCGGGGAACGGGCGCCGAUACGACCGUCCUGGAGGGACAUAGGGGGACCUGGAACAUCCGGUGGAGCGGUGAAAUGCGUUGAGAUCGGAUGGAACGCCCGUGGCGAAAGCGAGGUCCUGGAUGUCUUCUGACGCUGAGACGCGAAAGCCAGGGAGCGAACGGG